AUAUUGUAUGUUGAGUGGAGGUGAGAAGCUGCGUUCAGGUUUGAGCCGAGCGAAGCGAGACAGCGUAGCGCUUGCCGCAACGACCCGAAGGGCGAGGGCAAAGCCUGAGUUAUCCUGCACGACCCACCA
rnacentral:sRNA from 1 species